UACAGAGGUCUCAAGCGUUGUUCGGAUUCAUUGGGCGUAAAGGGUGUGUAGGUGGCGCGCUAAGUCGGGUGUGAAAUUUCGGAGCUUAACUCCGAAACUGCAUUCGAUACUGGCGUGCUUGAGGACUGGAGAGGAGACUGGAAUUUACGGUGUAGCAGUGAAAUGCGUAGAUAUCGUAAGGAAGACCAGUGGCGAAGGCGGGUCUCUGGACAGUUCCUGACACUGAGACACGAAGGCCAGGGGAGCAAAACGGG
rnacentral:rRNA from 1 species